rnacentral:rRNA from 1 species
UUAGGAAUCUUCCCCAAUGGGCGCAAGCCUGAGGGAGCGACACUGCGUGAAGGAUGAAGGUUUUCGGAUCGUAAACUUCUGAACGAGGGACGAAUAAUGACGGUACCUCGCUAAAAGCACCGGCUAACUCCGUGCCAGCAGCCGCGGUAAUACGGAGGGUGCAAGCGUUAUCCGGAAUCAUUGGGCGUAAAGCGUCCGCAGGUGGUUAAUCAAGUCUGCUGUUAAAGACAGAAGCUCAACUUCUGAAAGGCAGUGGAAACUGGAGAACUAGAGUACGGUAGGGGUCGAGGGAAUUCCCAGUGUAGCGGUGAAAUGCGUAGAGAUUGGGAAGAACACCAGUGGCGAAGGCGCUCGACUGGGCCGUAACUGACACUCAGGGACGAAAGCUAGGGUAGCGAAAGGGAUUAGAUACCCCUGUAGUCC